AGCGAACGCUGGCGGCAGGCUUAACACAUGCAAGUCGAACGGAUCCUUCGGGAUUAGUGGCGGACGGGUGAGUAACACGUGGGAACGUGCCUUUUGGUUCGGAACAACACAGGGAAACUUGUGCUAAUACCGGAUGUGCCCUUCGGGGAAGAUUAUCGCCAUUAGAGCGGCCCGCGUCUGAUUAGCUAGUUGGUGAGGUAAAGGCUCACCAAGGCUACGAUCAGUAGCUGGUCNGAGAGGAUGAUCAGCCACACUGGGACUGAGACACGGCCCAGACUCCUACGGGAGGCAGCAGGUGGGGAAUCUUGCGCAAGUGGGGGAAACCCUGACGCAGCCAUGCCGCGUGAAUGAUGAAGGUCUUAGG
rnacentral:rRNA from 1 species